CAUACAUGCAUACAUAUAUAAGCUCCUAACGAUAAUACCGAAGCAGCCAAGCAUUCAAGAAUAAACUCCGGUUAUCAUACAUAGAUAUGUUACAAGAGGAGGGACUUCAUAACAGGUUAUUGUUCUACUUCUAGUAAUCUCGAACUUUUGUGGCAUUUUAUGCUUUGUACCUCUUCUAGAAACGAUUAUUAUGUAUAUAUAAGGUGGCGGGUUGGCAGAAACUUUAACACGCUCAACAAAAUGCUUAGUGAUAUUUCGUUGGGUUUUACGAAUUGUGUUCAAAUUGCGCCGAGGUCGACUUUACUGUUCAUCCCUUCGAGGAAUUUCUAAAUUUAAGAAAUUGAUCAGAUGAAUCUAGACUUCACACUAAUAGAUUUUGGGACAAAUAUCAUUAGAAAAAAGUAAAAAAAAAAAAGAAAGCCUGAACACCAAAAAUUCUGUUCUCUUUAACAUCAACAUUCAGAACAACUUACUAGAUUAAUCGGCACAACUUACCCUCAGGACAAAUCUGAUUGAACAGAUCCAUCUACAGUCAAAGAGGUUCCAACUACUCCCACACUGUAUUUCAUUCAAACAGUGAAUUCAAGACUUCAUUAGCGAUGUGUCUUACCUGUUUUGAGAAGGUAGAGAGUUUGUUGUGAUUUGAAUUUUGGUGCUAUUUCUUGCAGUGACGUGACUAGUGACGCCCUCUUUGUUUUGUUACUAGUUUAGUAUGUUGGUCAUUUUUGGUUUCUGUUGUUCAAUUGGAUUUUAAUUCAUUGUGGUGGCCCGACCAAGUCUAUUAUAUCAACUACAGAGAUACAACGCAUUGCUGUGUGGUUUAGAAACUCACUUUGUAACCACGUGGUUUCAUUUACAGUCCCAGAGCGCAACACCAUGCGCAUCUGUCUUCUACUAUAACCAUGGGCGAACCAACGUCUUGUUAAGGAAUUUCGCUGACGGGAACUGCAUUUGAACUCAGAACCUAGAAGAGUCGGAGCAAAUACGGCAAAACACUUAAAACGAAUCAUAAGAUACGUCAUUUACCGAUACCCGAACGACUAAAGUUAACUUCGAUUGGACUUGAACACAUUGAGACGGAGCGACUAUCGAACAUAUACAGACAUUCUAACAAACUCUGCCAACGCAUCUCCUUAUUACGCUACAUCAUUAUUAAGCCCAAGUUAAAUAAACUCAUCCUUACUCUCUGAA